rnacentral:rRNA from 2 species
GACGAACCGUGCGAACGUUGUUCGGAAUCACUGGGCUUAAAGGGCGCGUAGGCGGGCUGCCAAGUCCGGGGUGAAAUCCUGCGGCUUAACCGCGGAACUGCCCCGGAUACUGGCGGCCUCGAGUGGGGUAGGGGCGUGCGGAACUCUGGGUGGAGCGGUGAAAUGCGUUGAUAUCCAGAGGAACUCCGGUGGCGAAGGCGGCACGCUGGACCCCUCCUGACGCUGAGGCGCGAAAGCCAGGGGAGCGAACGGG